AUGGGGUUUUUCGCCUCCGUUUAAAGCGCCCAAAGGCUACAUCCCCCCUAACCCGAGAGCCUAAGAGAAGAGACCCCCCUUUAUUCCCUUUGGAAUCGGUCUUAAACCACAGAGCCAGGGUUCCGGUGACGUGACUUUGGGGUUUGGGGUAAGUCUCAUUUUCACUUUUCUUCUUAUUUUUUUGUCUAAAACAAACUUGAAAAUAGAAAAAGAAAAAAAAAGUAAAAUAGAAUAGAAAUCAGGAGAUAAAAAGAGAAGAUCAGAUUCAACCUUUUUUUUAUUGCUUAAAUCGCGUGUAAAAACCAAAAUACAUUGAUCUUUCUGGCUUUUAUAGCCGAAUAAAACUUCCUAUUCUACUGUUUAUUUCACUAUUGGUGUUGUUCAUGAUUUUGCUUAUGCUACUAUUUCUAUAAUCCUUGUUUCUGUCUUUCUUUUUUCUUUUUGCAGGGUCGGCGCUUAGACAACUAAGGGGAGAAGGGUUUCUUUUUCCAUUUCGGUGCAAACUUACAGACGAGCCUCGGGACGAGGUACGGGCGACGUGGCCGAGGAGGGCAUAGGUGCGGCGCACAUAAAAUUAGGGUUUAGGCUUUUCUAAAAAAAUGUUUAGGUACAUGGGCUUGUUAUCUUUGGACUAAGUUUUUAGUUUUGGGUCUGCAGAAAUUUAGAAUUGUGUUUUGGACUCUGGACUGGUAAUUUUUAUAUUUGGGCUUUUUGUUUGGGCUGGUUAAUGAUUUUGGGCUCGGGUAAAUUUGGGUUUUUACAUUUACCAAUGAGCAGGCAACAUUAGUAGUGACCUCAAAUAGCAGCCUUUUUUAUAGAACAGUUGAAACUUAAAUAUAUUAAGCAACAAGAAUAGUUCCUUAUGUUAAAUUUAGAUAAUAAGUAUAUGGCAUUUCUUUGAAGCUUUUGGCAGUGCACAUAUAUUUUUACUCAUCAUUCUCUGCUCUCUCUUUGGCACGCUUUUGAUCUCUACCGUCAAACUCUCUAAAACCCCUGCCUUCUUGAAAAGAUACUCCACCAAUUGAAACUCUAUAUUCUUUCUUUUCAAUGCAAAAACUUGAUUGCCUUGAUAUGAUGCCGAAAACAAGAGGGAUAUUUCUUCGGUGUACGCCAAUCUACGGGAUCAACGUCCUGAAAAACAAGACCAAAACAUAUAUAGCUACAACGAAACUAGUUCAAGACUGCAAUAAUAUGUAUAUAUGCAAUUUCUUUCCUUAAUUCGUACCUCCAAUUCAAAAGCAAGGGUUUCAAGACAUGGACAUCUAACAAGCAUGUUUUCCCAUCCAGCAUUGCAGGUACCAAUCUUCAAAAAGGUCAGGUUUGGAAAUUCGGGAAUCAGACUGGGCCUCUGUAGCAUAGCUUGAAUCUGAAAAAGGAAGGUUGGUUAUAGUUAAGUCACUUAGUCAAUGUUUUUUCUUUUUUUACUAGAAAAUGAAAUCCAGAAUUUUUUUUUUUUGGUACCCCUGAGCAAAUACCGGUUAAAUGAAAUGAUUGAACACAACUGAGUGCUCUCAUCACAUCAAAUACCGAAUCAGUGACAUUGCAGUAGUUUGAAGACAUGGCUAUAAAUCCAAUAUAAAUGCGUGCUUCUGAAAGAGAGUUUAGGUUUCUGAGUGAGAGCCUUGUUUCUUUACAGUAGACGCAGCCGAAAUCAAAGAAGACCAGAUUCGGGGUGUCAAUCUCCACUUCACAACUAGGGGCAAUAAAACCACCACUUAUGGUUAGCCUCUUAAGUGUAGGAUGGCAAACACUGAGUUUGUUUAGGUUGCUGAGUUCACAUGAUUGAACAAGCAAUUCCUCCAGCGAAUUGCAGCUCGAAAGUAGCCUUCUAAUGGAUUCAUCAUCAGAGAAUUUCAGAAAAGUAAGAUGGAGACCUUUGAGAUUCGGCAGACAACAAUGGGUGGGAAUAGUCAGGACAAGACUUGGAAGGUUGAAUAAUCUCAAUGUGAGCAGUGUUUUACAAGUAAAAACCCCGAGUUCCAGGUCAGUGAAAUGUCUUGUUUCGAAGGUUCCACUUUGAAAGAUCAAUUCAAGUUCUCUAACGCCAUGCCUUACUGCGUACAGUAUCCAUUCAUUGAUCUUGCGAUGAUCAAUUCCGGGUCCAUAGCAGAGGCGAAAUCUAUCCACACUGAUAUCCUUACGCAAGGACAGAAAUCCAUCCACAAAUUCCAUGAAUCUAUUACGUAAAGCCCCCUUCCUUAGAACUCCAUCG
rnacentral:lncRNA from 1 species